GACGAACGCUGGCGGCGUGCUUAACACAUGCAAGUCGAACGAAGUGGCGAACGGGUGAGUAACGCGUAAUCAACCUGCCCUUCAGAGGGGGAAAACAGUUGGAAACGACCGCUAAUACCGCAUCCUGAAGGUGGGGAUUGCGUCUGAUUAGCUACUUGGAGGGGUAACGGCCCACCCAGGCGAUGAUCAGUAGCCGGUCUGGGAGGAGGAGCGGCCACAUUGGUACGGAGAGACGGCCCAGACACCUACGGGAGGCAGCAGUGGGGAAUCGUCCGCAAUGGACGAAAGUCUGACGGAGCAACGCAGCGGGAGUGAUGACGGCCUUCGGGGUGUAAAGCUCUGUUAAUCGGGACGCGGUACCGGAAUAGAAAGCCACGGCUAACUACGUGCCAGCAGCCGCGGUAAUAC
rnacentral:rRNA from 1 species